rnacentral:rRNA from 1 species
AAACCAACAGGGAUUGCCCUAGUAACGGCGAGUGAAGCGGCAACAGCUCAAAUUUGAAAUCUGGCUCUUUCAGAGUCCGAGUUGUAAUUUGCAGAGGGCGCUUUGGCGUUGGCAGCGGUCCAAGUUCUUUGGAACAGGACGUCACAGAGGGUGAGAAUCCCGUACGUGGUCGCUAGCCUUCGCCGUGUAAAGCCCCUUCNACGAGUCGAGUUGUUUGGGAAUGCAGCUCUAAAUGGGAGGUAAAUUUCUUCUAAAGCUAAAUACUGGCCAGAGACCGAUAGCGCACAAGUAGAGUGAUCGAAAGAUGAAAAGCACUUUGGAAAGAGAGUCAAAUAGCACGUGAAAUUGUUGAAAGGGAAGCGCUUGCAGCCAGACUUGCCUGUAGUUGCUUAUCUGGACUUUUGUCCGGUGCACUCUUCUGCGGGCAGGCCAGCAUCAGUUUGGGCGGUUGGAUAAAGGUCUCUGUCAUGUACCUCCUUUCGGGGAGGCCUUAUAGGGGAGACGACAUGCCACCAGCCUGGACUGAGGUCCGCGCAUCUGCUAGGAUGCUGGCGUAAUGGCUGUAAGCCGC